GACGAACGCUGGCGGCGUGCUUAACACAUGCAAGUCGAACGGAAAGGCCCUGCUCUUGUGGGGUGCUCGAGUGGCGAACGGGUGAGUAACACGUGUGUAUCCUGCCCCUGACUUAGGGAUAACUUCAGGAAACUGGGGCUCAUACCGCAUAGGAUCUCCUGCUGCACGGUGGGGGUUGGUAAGUUUCGGCGGUUUGGGAUGGACUCGCAGCAUAUCAGCCUCUUGGGGGAGUAGUGGCUUACCAAGGCUUUGACGGGUAGCCUGCCUGAGAGGGUGACCGGCGACAAUGGGACUGAGAUACGGCCCAGACUCCUACCGGCCGCAGCAGUGGGAAGUAUUGCGCAAUGAGGGGGAGCCUGAUGCGACAACGCCGCGUGCGGAAUGACGGCCUUCUGGUUGUGAACAACUUUCGACUGUGCCGAAGCGUGAGUGACGGUAAUGGGUAAGAAAGCACCGGCUAACUACGUG
rnacentral:rRNA from 1 species